rnacentral:rRNA from 1 species
AGGACGAACGCUGGCGGCGUGCUUAACACAUGCAAGUCGAACGGGGCGAAGUGAUAGCUUGCUAUUAUGGAGCCUAGUGGCAAACGGGUGAGUAACGCGUAGGCAACCUGCCCUUCAGAUGGGGACAACACCUCGAAAGGGGUGCUAAUACCGAAUGACGUUUCCUGGUCGCAUGACCUGGAAACCAAAGGCCGGGCAACCGGUCACUGAAGGAUGGGCCUGCGUCUGAUUAGCUAGUUGGUGGGGUAACGGCCCACCAAGGCGACGAUCAGUAGCCGGUCUGAGAGGAUGAACGGCCACAUUGGGACUGAGACACGGCCCAAACUCCUACGGGAGGCAGCAGUGGGGAAUCUUCCGCAAUGGGCGCAAGCCUGACGGAGCAACGCCGCGUGAGUGAAGAAGGUUUUCGGAUUGGUAAAGCUCUGUUGAGAGGGACGAGAGAUAUAAUCAGGAAAUGGGUUAUAGAGGACGGUACCUUUCGAGGAAGCCACGGCUAACUACGUG